ensembl:lncRNA
AGACUACAUUUGCCAGGGGUCCGCCUGGUGUCCUUUGUCUAAAUUGGUGCGUAAUCUUCAACUGGAGGCAUUUUCCAUUGAGAUUCAGAGGAGAACGCACACUUCCACGAACGAUAUAUCAUCGAAGAGAUAUGUGAAAAACACCUUGAGGAUUGAUUCUAAACAACGUUUACCAUGUUUCAGUCGAUAAUAUGGAGUUAAUUUGGAAAAAAAAUUGACGUUUUGAUGACUGAAUUUUCGUUUUCUUUUGGUAGCCAAACGUGACGCACCAAACGGAGCGAUUUCUCCUAAACAAAUAAUCUUUCAGAAAAAACGGAACAUUUGCUAUCUAACUGAGAGUCUCCUCAUUGAAAACAUCUGAAGUUCUUCAAAGGUGGGGACUACAGCAUGGGACAGGGAUAGGUUGAAGAUGUCCAAGAAGACGACCACCAGCUGGUCAGCACACACUCUGAGGACCUGACCAGGGAUUCCAUCUGGGCCGGCGGCUUCUCACAGGCAGCAGAGAACUGGAACGAAAGGCGGCCAAAUGAGGUGUUGGCUUUAGGGAUGAUCAGUGAGAUACACCUGCUGGAGCGCGUGCUACGGGUGGGUGUUGCCAUCGUGACCAGUGAACUGAGAUAAGGCAGAGCUUUACCUAGCAUGGACUUGUAGAUGACCUGGAGCCAGUGGGUCUGGCGACGA